rnacentral:rRNA from 1 species
AUUGAACGCUGGCGGCAUGCCUUACACAUGCAAGUCGAACGGCAGCACGGGAGCAAUCCUGGUGGCGAGUGGCGAACGGGUGAGUAAUGUAUCGGAACGUACCUUUCAGUGGGGGAUAACGUAGCGAAAGUUACGCUAAUACCGCAUAUUCUGUGAGCAGGAAAGCAGGGGAUCGCAAGACCUUGCGCUGAUUUGAGCGGCCGAUAUCAGAUUAGCUAGUUGGUGAGGUAAAGGGCUCACCAAGGCGACGAUCUGUAGCGGGGUCUGAGAGGAUGAUCCGCCACACUGGAACUGAGACACGGUCCAGACUCCUACGGGAGGCAGCAGUGGGGAAUUUUGGACAAUGGGCGCAAGCCUGAUCCAGCCAUGCCGCGUGAGU